AGGUGCUGCAGUGGCUGUCGUCAGCUCGUGUCGUGAGAUGGUUAGGGUUAACGUCCCGUAACGAGCGCCAACCCUUGUCCUUAGUUACCAGCACGUUAUGGGUGGGCACUCUAAGGAGACUGCCGGUGACAAACCGGAGGAAGGUGGGGAUGACGUCAAGUCAUCAUGGCCCUUACGGCCUGGGCUACACACGUGCUACAAUGGUCGGUACAAAGGGUUGCCAAGCCGCGAGGUGGAGCUAAUCCCAUAAAACCGAUCGUAGUCCGGAUCGCAGUCUGCAACUCGACUGCGUGAAGUCGGAAUCGCUAGUAAUCGUGAAUCAGAAUGUCACGGUGAAUACGUUCCCGGGCCUU
rnacentral:rRNA from 1 species